UGUUGGAUUUUUUUUUUAAGAAUAAGAUCGGAAUAUAUAUAAUUUCUAUAAUAGAUGGCCAUCUUGAAAAAAAAUACUGUUUAUCAGCUUUUCAAAGUUUUUGUUGUUGAUUUUUGGUGUUUUAACACCACUUUUAAGCACCACAUUUAGGUUAUUUUGUGGGGGCCAGUUUUUAUUGGUAUAGGAAGCAGGAGUGCCCGUAGAAAACCAAGACCUUUGAUAGGAAAACUGACAAGAUAGAGGUAAAGUGCACCCACACAAGCGGGGUUCAAACUAGCGUUGACUGGCUAGUGAUUACAGUAGUAACUACUUAGACCACUCAGCUUUUGAGAGAACCUCUUACUGAUACUACUUAAUUAUUCUAAGAAAGGCUGUUGAUAUACUAUUUGAAGGCAUGUUAUCCAGGUGUUGAAUCUUCAUUUCAACCUUCCAAUCACAAAAAAAAUGAUAAAAAGACUUUACAAUUCUGAUUAUCCUGUCUGAUUAUGGCAAAACAUGACUCAAAAAUAAACAAACCCAUUCAUUAAUGAUCCACACUCAUUUUGAUAUUAAAAUAUAUCAAUUAAUGUUAUCUCUCUCAGUCAAACCUCCAGAAUUGAAGUGAAGUUCUGUUAUAAUUUUUCAUCAUCAUCAUCAUAUUUUUUCCCUGAAUCGUCAAUAUCUGAGAACCAGAUGUUUCUUAUAUACAAAUGUAUGGCCCAUGAAUAUGAAAUAUAGAAUUUCAAAACAACAGAAAACUCAAAUAUUUUUAAAAACAUUAUCUACUGAUUAUACUAUUUUGAUUUAUCAACUAUCAUUUUAAUAAUUCAAGGAAUAAAAAAAUUUUGGGUCACAACCAAUUAUAAAUGAUAAAUUUGAUGGUCUUCAGAUUCAAAUACUG
rnacentral:lncRNA from 1 species